rnacentral:rRNA from 1 species
CAGUCGAGCGGAACGAUUUAUCUGUUGUUUUUGGGAUGACACGCCGUCGAGCGGCGAACGGGUGAGUAAUGCCUGCCCAUUUGCCCUGAAGUGGGGGAUAACCAUUGUGCUCGAUGGCUAAUACCCCUUGAUGCCUACGGGCCAAAAAUGGGGACCUUCCGGCCUCUCGCGUCAGGAUAUGCCAAUGUGGGAUUAGCUAGGUGGUGGCUCAAGGGCUCACCAAUGCCUCGAUCCCUAGAUGGGCUGAGAGGAUGAUCUGCCACUGUGACACUGACACAACUCCCACACUCCUACGGGAGGCAGAAUAGUGGAAUAUGGCACAAUGCCUGCUGCCCUGAUGCCGCCAGGCCGCGUGUGGGAAUUAGGCCUUCGGGUUGUUUCGCACUUUCAGAAAGGAGGAAAGUUAAUACAGUAAUACCUGCAUUAUUUGACGUUAACAACCACAGAAUCACCCCCUAACUCCUGCCCGCAACCGCGGAAUUACCGAGGGUGCGAGCGAUAUUCUGAAUUACUGGGCUGAAAGCGCAUGCUGGUGGUUUGUAUGUCCAAAUGUGAAAGCCCGGCUCUCAACCUCAUUUUUGCAUUUGAAACUGGAAGACUGAAGAACUGUAUAGAAUUCCAGAAUUUCCGGUGAAGCGCUGAAAUGCCUAGAGAUCUGGAGGAGUACCAGUGGGGACCGUGGACCCCUGGACACAUACUGACACUCAGAUGCGAAAGCGAGGGGAGCUUACAUACCCUGAUACCCUGGUAGUCCACGCCGUAAACGAUGUCUACUUGAAGGUUGAGGCCUUGAGCCGUGGUCUUCGGAGCUAACGCGUUAAGUAGACCGCCUGGGGAGUACGGUCGCAAGAUUAAAACUCAAAUGAAUUGACGGGGGCCCGCACAAGCGGUGGAGCAUGUGGUUUAAUUCGAUGCAACGCGAAGAACCUUACCUACUCUUGACAUCCAGAGAACUUGCAGAGAUGGAUUGGUGCCUUCGGGAACUGUGAGACAGGUGCUGCAUGGCUGUCGUCAGCUCGUGUUGUGAAAUGUUGGGUUAAGUCCCGCAACGAGCGCAACCCUUAUCCUUAUUUGCCAGCGAGUAAUGUCGGGAACUCAGGGAGACUGCCGGUGAUAAACCGGAGGAAGGUGGGGACGACGUCAAGUCAUCAUGGCCCUUACGAGUAGGGCUACACACGUGCUACAAUGGUGCAUACAGAGGGCAGCCAACUUGCGAAAGUGAGCGAAUCCCAAAAAGUGCGUCGUAGUCCGGAUUGGAGUCUGCAACUCGACUCCAUGAAGUCGGAAUCGCUAGUAAUCGUGGAUCAGAAUGCCACGGUGAAUACGUUCCCGGGCCUUGUACACACCGCCCGUCACACCAUGGGAGUGGGCUGCAAAAGAAGUAGAUAGAUUAACCUUCGGAGGACGCUACCAC